rnacentral:rRNA from 1 species
AUACAGAAGGUGCGAGCGUUAAUCGGAAUUACUGGGCGUAAAGGGUGCGUAGGCGGCUUGAUAAGUCGGAUGUGAAAGCCCCGGGCUCAACCUGGGAAUUGCAUUCGAUACUGUCAGGCUAGAGUAUGUCAGAGGUUGGCGGAAUUCCUGGUGUAGCGGUGAAAUGCGUAGAUAUCAGGAGGAACACCAGUGGCGAAGGCGGCUAACUGGGACAAUACUGACGCUGAGGCACGAAAGCGUGGGGAGCAAACGGGAUUAGAAACCCUAGUAGUCC